AUACAGAGGGUGCAAGCGUUAAUCGGAUUUACUGGGCGUAAAGCGCGCGUAGGUGGCUAAUUAAGUCAAAUGUGAAAUCCCCGAGCUUAACUUGGGAAUUGCAUUCGAUACUGGUUAGCUAGAGUAUGGGAGAGGAUGGUAGAAUUCCAGGUGUAGCGGUGAAAUGCGUAGAGAUCUGGAGGAAUACCGAUGGCGAAGGCAGCCAUCUGGCCUAAUACUGACACUGAGGUGCGAAAGCAUGGGGAGCAAACAGGAUUAGAUACCCUGGUAGUCCAUGCCGUAAACGAUGUCUACUAGCCGUUGGGGCCCUUGAGGCUUUAGUGGCGCAGCUAACGCGAUAAGUAGACCGCCUGGGGAGUACGGUCGCAAGGCUAAAACUCAAAUGAAUUGACGGGG
rnacentral:rRNA from 1 species